CUCUCUUUGGAAGCGAGAGUUUGGAAGAGAGUUGAAAGCCAGAGCGCAACGUAGGCCGUUUUGAACAUCAAGCCCGUCAUGCUGCUUUGUUUUCAGAUCCAGUGAUAUAAAAGAUCCAGAACGACUGAAGCCAGGAGACCGCCCCGAAUGAGAAAGGAUGGGGAAAAGGCCAGGACCGAGGAACGGAGAGGCUUCGGCAGACGUUUCCGUUCCACAGCAACAUCUCGCUGUUCUGAAAAUAAGUGUCUGCAGAUUUUCUUGCAGAACAACUGUUCACUUUCUGUACUGAUGGAUGCA